UACGGAGGGUGCAAGCGUUGUUCGGAAUCACUGGGCGUAAAGAGCGUGUAGGCGGUUCGGUAAGUCGGCUGUGAAAGUCCAGGGCUCAACCCUGGGAUGCCGGUCGAUACGGGCAGGCUAGAGUUCGGUAGGGGAGAUCGGAAUUCCUGGUGUAGCGGUGAAAUGCGCAGAUAUCAGGAGGAACACCGGUGGCGAAGGCGGGUCUCUGGGCCGAUACUGACGCUGAGGAGCGAAAGCGUGGAGAGCGAACAGG
rnacentral:rRNA from 1 species